rnacentral:rRNA from 1 species
GGUCACGAUGAGGACCGUGCAUAGGCAGAUUUGGCCCAAAAAAUGUCCAGCCUCCAAGUAGGGGGUAAGAAACCUAAGCCACCUGGUGGAUGGCUCGGCUCGGGGCGCCGACGAAGGGCGUGGCAAGCUGCGAUAAGCCCCGGUGAGGCGCAGGCAGCCUUCGAGCCGGGGAUUCCCGAAUGGGACUUCCUGCGGCUUUGCCGCACUCCCACCAGGGAGAGGGAACGCGGGGAAUUGAAACAUCUUAGUACCCGCAGGAAAAGAAAGCAAAAGCGAUGCCGUGAGUAGGGGCGACCGAAAG